rnacentral:lncRNA from 1 species
GAGAGCAGUGAAUUUUCACUGACAUGCCUGUUGGAGAUGAGAAGGUGCCUGGAGGAUGGGUGGGAGGAUGAGACUUGAAUUCCCUCCCAUUGAUCAUGGCCAAAGAAGAAAGCUCAAAUGGAGAUUUUAUUCCAGAAACAAUGGCCCCCUUAUGUGCUGUGUCGUGAUCUCUCUGAAUGAACCUGCUGGUGAAAUGAAGGCUUUUCCCUGGGCAGGACCCAGGCACAAGCCCAGCCAAGCUUUUUAUACGUGUCUGCAGAUGGACCUUUGCCCCUAUGGUUUGCCUGGCCCUCUCUUCACCCGUAGCCAGGCACUCCAGUGCAUGAAGUGGACGUUUUCCAGCCCUGAGCUGCCAGAGUUAAUUAACCCUCUGCUAAGGCCAGGCCAGUCUUUCUGGGAAACUAGAUCCAUUGGGCUGUGCAUUCCACAAGCCUCUCUUUGCCUGGCGUCUUGUGUAUCUGUACUGGAAAAAUCUGUUUCUUCCUCCAUAUAUUUGUUUUUUGGGAGUGGAGAGGGCAAAAGCCUGAGGAAGACAGAAAGGAUCAAGUUCCCUAAAUUUCCUUGCUGUCAUCAGCUGCCAAGAACUUGCCAUGGGAGAAAACCAACUCAAAGUUGCUGGAGAUGCCUUGGUUUUUCCUGGGCAGAAAAUAUAUACAUACAGUUUUCCCCAUCUCCUCUUCCUUGUGGCAAAGUUGUCUUUGUAUAA